rnacentral:rRNA from 1 species
CUGCUGCCUUCCGUAGGAGUCUGGGCCGUGUCUCAGUCCCAGUGUGGGGGGCCUUCCUCUCAGAACCCCUACGCAUCGUCGCCACGGUGGGCCGUCACCCCGCCGUCUAGCUAAUGCGCCGCAUGCCCAUCCGCCACCGGAUCGCUCCUUUGGCCACCGGAGGAUGCCCUCCGGUGGCGUCACGGGGUAUUAGGCCGCGUUUCCGCGGGUUGUCCCCCUGUGGCGGCCAGGUUGCAUACGUGUUACUCACCCGUGCGCCGGUCGCCGGG